rnacentral:rRNA from 1 species
GCUCACCAAGGCGACGAUCCGUAACUGGUCUGAGAGGAUGAUCAGUCACACUGGAACUGAGACACGGUCCAGACUCCUACGGGAGGCAGCAGUGGGGAAUAUUGGACAAUGGGCGAAAGCCUGAUCCAGCCAUGCCGCGUGUGUGAAGAAGGUCUUCGGAUUGUAAAGCACUUUAAGUUGGGAGGAAGGGCAGUAAGUUAAUACCUUGCUGUUUUGACGUUACCAACAGAAUAAGCACCGGCUAACUCUGUGCCAGCAGCCGCGGUAAUACAGAGGGUGCAAGCGUUAAUCGGAAUUACUGGGCGUAUAUCUUUGUGUAGGUGGUUCGUUAAGUUGGAUGUGAGAGCCCCGGGCUCAACCUGGGAACUGCAGUCGAUACUGGGUAUCUAGAGUAUGGCAGAGGAUAGUGGAAUUCCCGGUGUAGCAGUGAAAUGCGUAGAUAUAGGAAGGAACACCAGUG